AGCAUGAAAUGUUUAUCUGGAGGGACAGAAGGAGAACAUCCCUCACAAUCAGUGAACUUUCUUUCAACUUGAACAUGAAAAUAUAUAAUGGAUAAUGACACUAAUAACAGUUUAUAUUUAGGUAGAUCUUUAGUUAAUAUAUAUGUAUUUUUAGAGAGUUCAGACUGGUUUUUUAUGAUUUCUUCAUCUAAUACAAUGUCAUAUGAUAUCCAGAGUGGAAUUUAGUUUUCUAGAAGCCAGCCUCUUAGAUUUCCAAGAACAAAGUCAGAAAAAAAAAAAAAUUGUAUGUUACAUUUGGAUCAAACCCCUGCCACAGCAACAACCUGAACCACAGCUAUGACAAUGCCAGGUCCUUAAUCCACGGCACCACAGGUCAACUCCAAGAAAAGUCUAUAUUUUUAGGGGUUAGUUUUAAUUGCUGUCAAAAUUAUUCAUGUUAAUAGUUAUGUAAAGUUUACCGUGAAAAAUAAUACUUCCCGCCUUACCCUCCUCAAUUAGCCCUCUUUUACAAUUUUUCUUGUUCUUUGUUGUAUUAGCAUUCUUUUGACUUCUUGAUUGUCCAAUUUCAGGUAUUCCUUGGUAAACCAACCCCCACUUAUCCUCAUGUGCUCCAGUGCAAAGGUCUGCUGUUGUACCUGCUCUUCUUGGGGUCUGGGAAUUCAUGCCAGCUCUGAUGAAGAGAGAGGAGAUCUGUGGAUCUCUGACUAUGGCUAAGAUUUCUGACUGCUUGUGAAACAGACUUAAAGGAAUCCUCCUUCUUUCAAACUCCUCUCAUUUUCAGAAAUACCACUGGGUCAUGAGAAUCCUUGAGAGUUUGGGGGAAUUGUAUGAUAUAAAUUGGAUUACUUUUUGGUAUUCCCCAUUGCUGAAUUAAUUCUCACUCUUGACAGCAUGCUGAGUAAUUUACCACUUGCCUUUCUGCAUUUCAGCAUUGAAAACUGUGUUGCUCAAGUUUCUUUUCCUUUUCUCCCGACUUUGUGACUCUGUGUCCUAGCAAAUAUGUCCUUUUAUUGGUUUAGUGGGUUUUCUGGAGAAAGCAAAAGAAUAUGUGAGAUUGGUUUGCCAACUUUAGCUGAAUGUCUGCUAUUUUUUUCUUGUUGUUUAAGAACUAAAUAUAUUCAUAGUUGGCAAAAAUGCUAAGACAAUGUUACAGUCCACUCAACAACUACCUUCCAUAUUUUAUUUUGUUACUAAUUUAACAGGCACAGACCUUUUUUAAAAAAAAAAUGGGGUUAAAAUUCUCUCAAGCUCAUCCUGCUUCUUUUCCUUACUUCAUUCAUAAUAUGGGCAACUCUUAAUAUUUCUUAAUAUUUAUUGAUAAUGAGAAUUAUUGCCCUGAAGUUUAGUAAAGAUAAACUUCACCCAGGUCUUUUUGCUAGUACCUUUUCAUCUUUCCCUCCUCAAAAAUACACUUCUACUCUGACCUUUGCAUUCCAGGAUCUCGGUAUUUUGGCCUCAUUGCAGUUAUUUUCAAAACUUGCCAGUUCUUUGUGUUUGAUUUUCACCUAAGUAUGGAUGAUGUAAUCACAUAUAUCCCUCUAACUGGUCAUACAACUUUACAUUCACAUGGCUUAUGUGACGUUGCCAUAUUCAAAAUAAGCUACUGAAUAUGCUAUUUCAGAAUAAGCAUGCACAUACAUUAGCUCCUUUUCCCUUCCAAGAUAUGUCUCUUUCCCCAUCCAUAAAUUUUCCUUUAAGAAAGUAUCAUUCUUUGGAUGACUGAGGUUGGGCGGUAGACCUUUGCUUGUUUCCUUCUUCAUUUUGCUUCAUCUAACAUGCCAAUCAGUCCUACCAUAUGGUUCUUUUAAUAGUCUCUCAAGAUUUUCACUUCCUCUGCUUUCUCGAUAUCACUGUUCUGGUUCAUCUUCAUGUCACUAAAAUCCCCUCUCAGUAAACAUGAGGCCAUUUAAUAAAUUUGUGCUAUACUGUCUAAAUGAUAGAUUUUGCACCUACAAUAACCCAAAGUGAAUGUUGGAAAUGUUUCAACCUCAAAUUAAGGUAAAACCUGCUCCUAUUAAUUUAAUCUAUGUAAGUAUCACAAUUUAUUGAUAUCUGAAAGGAGGAGAAGAAUCAAGAACUAAGUGAACAAAUAGUGUUUUAUUAUUAUUACAUCAUCAAUUUAAUUCAUAUGGACUUUGGAAAACCCUUUCCCUGGUAUCUAUUAAGGUAAAAGCAUAUUAAUAUUGAUGCAACAUUGAUUAAUUUAUUCUGUACCUACUAUGUGUCAAUUACUGUCCUUGGGUUUGGUUGUGCUUGGAUAAGGGAUAAAUAAUAAAUAAUUUAAAUAAUAAAACUGGAAUAUGACCUCCCAAUGUUCCAAGUCUAGCAAGAAUGACAAGCUCUUACACAACAGGAUGUUAUAUGGUGUCCAAAAUAGAGGUAGAGACAAGUCAGAUGGGGAUAGAAAGAGGAUAAUUUUAAACUCCAUCCAACAAGGUCCUGCUGUUAAGGAAGGCUUUCCAAUGGAGGGAGGGCUUGAAAUGAAUAUGAAUUAUUAUGGGGGAGGGCAUUCCAAGCAAAGACAUCAAAGAGACAGGAUGACAUGUUUACACAGCUGUGUAUUAAUUAUCUUUUCACAAUUCAUCUUUGUAUUUCUGUCACCUGGGAUAUCACAGCUCAUACCUGUACUGAUUAAAAUGUUUUUGAAAAUUUAUUACAUUUUAUUAAUUUAAAUGGAUGCACCAUACAUGCUAAUUAAAAAUAUAUAUAUAUACUAUAGGCUAUUGCCCUUGGUUUCUUGAUAGGUAUAAUUUCUCUUUGAUCUUGAAACUAUGCCCUGUAUGUUGUAGUUCUCUCCUUCUGAAUGAUGAAUCUCCCUGUUGAAAAUGACCGAGACUCAUGCAAAUGGCACAUAAUAGAACAAUCUGUACAGUAUGUAUGCAAAGUAGGAGGUUUUGUAGAAAGAGCUCUGAACCAGAAAUCAAGAAACCUAGGUUCUAUUCCCAGACUUCUCUCUAAUUAGUGGAGUGACCUUUUUAGAAUCAAUUAUCAUUUGUGUCCCAUGUUCUUAAAGAGUGACUUGCACUAGAUAACGACUACGUUUCUUUUCAGCUCCUAAGUUACAUAUGUCAGUAAAAUGACAAAUGGACAAUUUCCCUUGCCUCUACUCCUUCAUAAUUGUGUCUGGCAAGGUUUGACCUUUGUUUCUAAAGUCAGCACAGAAGCCAACUUGUCUCUCUUCUGAACUCCCAUAGAAUUGUAUUUCUAGCUCUUACGGUUUAGUGUAGAAUAAGAUUUAGAGUACAGGCUCUGGUGCCAGACUGCCUGGUUUUAUGAUCCAGUUUUGCCACUUUCUGGCUGUAUAAUCUUGGAAAAUUUUCUUAUUCUGUUUAUUUGUUUCCUCAACUAUUUAUGAGGAUUCUAGUAAUAUCUACCUUAUCAAGUUGUUGCGAGGCUGAAAUGCGUGAAUGUUCUCAAAGUGUUUAGAAGUGGCCUUAGCACAGAGUAACUGCUCAGUAGAGAAUAAACUCUUACUAAUUAAGAUAACAUUCACCUGUGACUGAGUGAUAAUGUACAUGAAUAUUUUUUGACAGCAAAUAUUAUGUCCUUUCACUAUUUUUUUGCCUUGGCAGUAAUCACUGUUUAACCUACUACAUAUAAUUUAUCUAUUAUCUCUGUCCCUACUAGAACAUUACUAUUGCCUAGACAUGUGCCAAGUGCACAGUAGAUACUCGAUUUCAAUUUCUGAAUUAAUUUACAAAAACACAAUAAAAAAUGACACUCAGAACAUGCCCUGUAAAAAGAACUGGUAAGUUGCAAUGUAAACAGCUGAACCCAUUUGUAGAUAUAGAAAACCCUGAAGUAAAAUCUUGUUUGCGCCUGCUCCGUAGCACACAUGAAUUCACUCUACUUAGAUGUCUGAUGUAGGCAUGUGGUGUCUACUCCCUCUCCCCCACAAAAAAUCCUUGGAUGGGGCCCUGAUUUCUUUUUGUCCCUUGGAGUAUCCAAUAAAGGACCUUCAUCUGAUCAUUCAUCCCUGUAUGUGAGGAAAAGCUGGGAAAUAAGAGUCACAAAUAGAACCAGCUACGCAAUUUGUGGGCCCUGGCACAAAAAUGCAAACAUGGGGACCCUUGUUCAAAAACAUAGGAAGUUCCUAAAGUAUAAAAAUCUUUCUUUUGCUUACCUCCUCUUUCCAUGCAUAUGCACCCACGCUGCAUCAGAUUUCACUUAAAAGGCACCAGUUCAAAGAUAAAAUUAAGAAUUUCAAGACAGUUACAGCAGAGCCUUAAGCCAGAGAAUUGAAACCUGCAAAUCUGCACAAGUGAGAGUUCCACAAAGGUGAAUUUAUAAUUCAGAGAGAAAGAGAGAGAGGGAGAGAUGGAGAGAAAGACAUGGAGGAGAAAUAGAAUGGAGAGGGAGGGAGCUGAUGAAGGUGUUCUCCAAACAUAUCAACCUAGUGCUUUAAGGUUGCCAGGGUCUUGUGCUAUUAACGACAACUUAAAGAGGGAGAAAAAGAUAUAAAAUUGAGCUUAGCAGAGUUCUCCAGUAGCUCAGUGGGUUAUGGAUCUGGUGUUGUCACUGUUGUGGCUGGAAUCAUUGCUGUGGUUUGGGUUCGAUCCCUGGCUUGGGAACCUUUGUUGCAGGCACAGCCAAAAUUAAUUGAACCUAGCAUCUAGCAUAUUAAGUUCAUCAUGUAACUCUUCCCUUGUUCAGUGGUCCCCCAACAUAUCUGGGUAAAAAUCUAAGUUUCUGAAUUAGUUACAACACUCUGCUGACCUGAGCCUCUUCUCUUACUCUGUCCUCAAGCCCUACCGUUUUCUUCCUAUUUCAGUCUAUUCCGAGCACACUAGCCUCUCUCCUGUUGCUCAAAAAAAGCCACUGCAGCCUCUUGUCUCCUGACCUUAGCAUUUUAUCUUAAAUUGGCCUGGAAUUUUUUCCCAAAUGUCCACAUGACCCAUUCUUUUACUUUUCUCUUAUUUCUCUGUUAAACUGGCACAUGUUAGAGAAGUCCUCUCUGACUUUCCUAGCAAAAAAAUCUCCCUCCUUCUCUGCCUCUUUUUCUGUCUCUGUCUCUAUCACUCUCUAUCUCUCCCUACUCCCUCUUGCUUCACCUCCUUUAUAGCAUUGAUCACUACCUUUCGUAUUUUUAUAUUUAUUUAUUUAUUUAUUGCCUUAUCACAGUAAACUCUAAGUUCCAGGAACCCAGAGACUUGACUUUAUUCACUGCUAUAUCCUCCUUGCAUAGAACUCUGUCUACCAUGCAGCUGAUGGUCAAUGACUAUUUUGAGGUAUAAAAAAAUCAUAUGAAGUAAUAUAGUCUAUAGUCGCUAGAGCUUUAUAAUAAAGAGACAAAAGAGGUAGAGAAAUUUAAAUAAUAUUAUGUAUCAGGUCCUGUGAGACCUGAUGCCAUCCACCUUAAUAAGAUUUUUUAAAAACCAAAUUACAACCCAAAAUAACCAUAAGGAAGGAAAUAGUAAAAAGUAAAACCAACAAAAAUGCAAAUGAACAAGAAAUAGAAAAAGACAAUGAAAAGUUAUUUCCUGGAAAAAUCCACAGAAUUUACAAGCCUGUAGGUAGAAUUAUCAAGAUAAAAAGAGAUAAGACACAUUUCAAUAUAAUGAAGGAAAGAGGAAAGGUCACUACAGAUCCUACUGACAUUGAAUAAAAUAAAUAUAAACACAUUUAUACCCAACAAAUAUUUGAUUAACUUUUACAAUAUUCAUAACUUCUUUGAAAGACAUAUACUGCUACACAAAGUUCACUCAAUAUGAGAGAAGUAACAGCACUCUAUCUAUCUAAAAAGUGAAUUUUUAAUUAAAUAUCUUCUCAUAGAGAAAACUCCAUAUCAAGAUGGUUUCCUUGGUGAAUUUUAUCAACUUUUAAGGCAGAAGUUAAAAUCUUUUACAGCUG
ensembl:lncRNA